ensembl:lncRNA
GCUUAGCUGAGUUCAAUGUGAAAGCAACUUGCCAACACAGUGUAUUAUUCACAUGUAAUUCAACAAAAGUAAGAUACCUCUCGUAUCUCAUAUCCCGCUUACUUACAAUAAAGGCAACAGAACAUCUGACCUUAGAAUGGUUUGCAAACAAGCUUAUUUACAAUUUCAGCAACUUUCGGUUCAUCAUCAACAAUAUUCAUCAACAUAGGAGUUUUGUUUAAGAAAGGUGAAGAAAGAAAAUAAGCUUGAACUUCUUUGUGAAAUGUUUUUGUGUAGACUCUCCCAAAUCUUCCGUUUUCAUUUUGAAGGUUUCCAAAGGACAAACAUGUGAGGAAGAAGUGGCUUUGAGGGGAGAUGGACUUACAGCAAGUGAUUCAUCAGUGCUUCGCUGUGAACACUUCAAGCAGAGGGACUUUGAUAAGACGGGUCAGAUUGUCCCACUCCGAGAUGGUGUUAUUCCAUCAGUCUUCAGCUUCCCGGUUCACCUCCAAAAAGAUUCCCAAGAAAUGGCAACCUCACACCCACAGCCUCAGCCUAAGGAUGAUCGUGGUCACGCCUGCUCCUCCUACCGCUCUUAAGACGAGACUCAACGAAGCCUUGGCAGGAGUGGGUUACAAGUGGAGAGUUACAUUCUGCACUGCAUGGUUAGUUAGACCCUCUUUGGUGCAAACACCCGGCGUUCUGUUGAAGUUAUUU